rnacentral:piRNA from 1 species
UACUUUUUCCGAUAUGUUUCC